GCCAAUUUUAGUUUUAAUUUUCUCUUCCAUUGUAGUUUCCUAAAGUGUAAUCUCAAUUAUUGAUUUAAGAUCUUUCUUAUUUUCUAACAUAUGCAUUCAGUGCUAUAAAUUUUCAACUACACACUGAUUUUGUAACGCUGAAGGUUCUUGCCUUAGCCAUGCCAAAGAAAUGGUGUGGCGGCUGCCUGCGGCGAGUGAUGGAGAAACGAACCAAGAGAAAAAAAGCUGUAGGCUUUAUUGAGCAGAGUGACAGUACAAAGCUUCCACAGGGUAGAAGGGGUCCUGAGUGGGUAGUCACUGUUGGUUUUGGGUGAUUGCCUUUUAAACUCUAUAACGUGGGAAAUACUUGCGGCGGGAAGAUGUUUCCAGAGCAAGAAACAAAGGCAGUAAAAUAUUUUGUGACAUCUUAGAUUUUGAGGAAAACCGGAAUUGUAACUUAGGUUUUAUCUACUUUAUGAUCUUGCAGCAGCAUGACAAAGGAGACAGGAUCUUACAGGACUGUACAAAGUAUGUUUACAAGGAAUUGGAAUUGGGAGCAUGGAUAAGGUCCACUGGUCAUAGAAAAAAUGGGCUUUUAACAUUCCUUUUAGUUUUAGGGGAGGGGGAAGGGAGAGAGGACACUGGGAAGCUUACAGAAAAAUUUUCGCUGUUUAUAGCUUUCUUGGGGAAGAAAACACAUGCACAAAUCCUGGUGUGAGGAAUAUUUUAAGCAUAUAUCUUCAAUAUUAUUCAUCCAGGACCGAAGUAAAUCAUGAGGCAGGAAAUGAGUGAGUUUCACAGCUUUCUGAGCCCCACUCGACCCGGGAAGCCCAGCUGGCACUUCCUCUCAAUUUCACUACAUCUCAUAGAUUUGUAUAAGUUGUAUUUUGCAUUUUCAUUUAGUUAAGUAUAUAUUAAAUUUCUCUUGAGACUUCUUUGACUCGUGUUAUUUAGGAGAAUAUUGUUUAAUCUUCAAAUAUUUUGGAAAAUUUCCACCUUUCUCUUAUUGUUUUCUAGCUUAAUUUCAUUAUGGUCUGAGACUAUAGUUUAUAUGAUUUCUAUUAUUAAAAAUUUGUUGUGCUGUGUUUUACAGACCACGGUGACCAGUCUGUAUUGGUGAAUGUCCCAUGUGAGCAUGAAAAGAAUGUGUAUUCUGAAGUUGCUGUAUUCAAUACAGUUAAUUGAUGGUGUCAUUCAGUUCAAAGAGAAGGGAACUCUGUGAUGCAUGGAUAGUGUGAAAAGAAAGUUUUGGCAGAUAAGGACUUAAAUUUCCUUUUUAACAUGUCAUAAUUCACUGAAUACAAGACUCUUCAAUACUGGAAUUUUUCAAAGUGAAUCUUACUGUGUUAAGGGUCUUCUCUGAAGCAAGCAUUGUGGCCAAAAGAGUGCAAUAGACUAAUCAGCUUACUACAAGGCUGAAAAUGGGAAGAAAGUCCUUUCCUUAAAGCAAAAUCUGGUGUCUGUUACC